rnacentral:lncRNA from 1 species
UUAAAAGAAAUUUUCUCUGACUUUGAUGCUAAAUACAGAGGAGCCUUUUGUGAAGCCAAGAUCAAGACAGCAAAAAGGCUUGUCAAAGUCAAGGUAACAUUUAGACAUGAUUCUUCAACGGUGGAAGUUCAGGAUGACCACAUAAAGGGCCCAUUAAAGGUUGGAGCUAUUGUGGAAGUGAAGAAUCUUGAUGGUGCAUAUCAGGAAGCUGUUAUCAAUAAAUUAACAGAUGCGAGUUGGUACACUGUAGUUUUUGAUGAUGGAGAUGAGAAGACACUGAGACGAUCUUCACUGUGCCUAAAGGGAGAGAGGCAUUUUGCUGAAAGUGAAACAUUAGACCAGCUCCCACUCACCAACCCUGAACAUUUUGGCACUCCAGUCAUAGGAAAGAAAACAAAUAGAGGAAGAAGAUCUAAUCAUAUACCAGAGGAAGAGUCUUCUUCAUCCUCCAGUGAUGAAGAUGAGGAUGAUAGGAAACAGAUUGAUGAGCUACUAGGAAAAGUUGUGUGUGUAGAUUAUGUUAGUUUGGAUAAAAAGAAAACACUAUGGUUUCCUGCAUUGGUGGUUUGUCCUGAUUGUAGUGAUGAAAUUGCUGUGAAAAAAGAUAAUAUUCUUGUUCGAUCUUUCAAAGAUGGCAAAUUUACUUCAGUGCCAAGAAAGGAUGUCCAUGAAAUUACUAGUGACACUGCACCAAAGCCUGAUGCUGUAUUAAAACAAGCCUUUGACCAGGCACUUGAAUUUCACAAAAGUAGAACUAUUCCUGCUAACUGGAAGACUGAAUUGAAAGAAGAUAGCUCUAGCAGUGAAGCAGAGGAAGAGGAGGAGGAGGAAGAUGAUGAGAAAGAAAAGGAGGACAAUAGCAGUGAAGAAGAGGAAGAAAUAGAACCAUUUCCAGAAGAAAGGGAGAAUUUUCUUCAGCAGUUGUACAAAUUUAUGGAGGAUAGAGGAACACCAAUUAACAAACGACCUGUGCUUGGAUAUCGAAAUUUGAAUCUCUUUAAGUUAUUCAGACUUGUACACAAACUUGGAGGAUUUGAUAAUAUUGAAAGUGGAGCUGUUUGGAAGCAAGUCUACCAAGAUCUUGGCAUUCCUGUCUUAAAUUCAGCUGCAGGAUACAAUGUUAAGUGUGCUUAUAAAAAAUACUUAUAUGGUUUUGAGGAGUACUGUAGAUCGGCCAAUAUUGAAUUUCAGAUGGCAUUGCCAGAGAAAGUUGUUAACAAACCAUGUAAGGAGUGUGAAAAUGUAAAAGAAAUAAAAGUUAAGGAAGAAAAUGAACCAGAGAUCAAAGAAAUAAAGAUUGAAGAGGAAGAGAAGAUAGUACCAAAAGAAGAAAAGCCUGCUGAAGAUGACAUUGAAAGAAAGGAAAAUAUUAAACCCUCUCUGGGAAGUAAAAAGAAUUUAUUAGAAUCUAUACCUACACAAACUGAUCAGGAAAAAGAAGUGAACAUGAAAAAAACAGAAGAAAAUGAAAAUCUGGAAGAUAAAGAUGAUGUGACAACUGGGGUAGAUGAAUCCCUCAGCAUAAAGGUAGAAGCUGAAGAAGAAAAAGCAAAAUCUGGAGAGAGAGAGAGAGAGAGAGAGCGCGCGCAACCAGAAGAGGAGGAGGAGGAGGAGGAAGAAGAGGAUGAAGAUGAUGAUGACGCCAAUGAGGAAGAGGAGUUUGAAUGCUAUCCGCCAGGCAUGAAAGUCCAAGUGCGGUAUGGACGAGGGAAAAAUCAAAAAAUGUAUGAAGCUAGUAUUAAAGAUUCUGAUGUCGAAGGUGGAGAGGUCCUUUACUUGGUGCAUUACUGCGGAUGGAAUGUGAGAUAUGAUGAAUGGAUUAAAGCAGAUAAAAUAGUAAGGCCGGCUGAUAAAAAUGUGCCAAAGAUAAAACAUCGGAAGAAAAUAAAGGUAAGCGCUUAUUUUACAAAUUCAUCUCCUGAAAUGGUAUCUAAGCUGGAUCUUACUGAUGCCAAAAACUCCGAUACAGCUCAUAUUAAAUCCAUAGAAAUUACUUCUAUUCUUAAUGGACUUCAAGCUUCUGAAAGUUCUGCUGAAGACAGUGAGCAGGAGGAUGAGACAGGUACACACGACAUGGACAGCAAUGGCAAAGAGGAGUGUAAGGCUGACCAUUUAACGCACCCCAGGAGUGACCUUUCAAAAGAAGAGCAGAACAGUUCGUCUUUGCUAGAAGAAAACAAGGUCCACGCUGAUUUGGUAAUAUCUAAAACAGCAUCGAAAUCUCCAGAGAGAUUAAGAAAAGAUAUAGAAGGAUUAUCCGAAGAUACUGAUUAUGAAGAAGAUGAAGUCACAAAAAAGAGAAAGGAUGUCAAGAAGGACACCACAGAUAAAUCUUCAAAGCCACAAGUAAAACGUGGUAAAAGAAGAUAUUGCAAUACAGAGGAGUGUUCAAAAAACUGGAUCACCCAGCAAAAAGGACGAGAAGGCCAAGAACAAAGAAUCACUUUCAAGCUGACACCAACUAAGAAAUACAAUAACAGCAGAGCUAAAGAUCGAAAAGAUGUCUGGUCAAGUAUUCAGGGACAGUGGCCUAAAAAAACGCUGAAGGAGCUUUUUUCAGACUCUGACACUGAGGCUGCAGCUUCCCCACCCCACCCUGCCCCAGAGGAGGGCCUGGCAGAGGGGUCACUGCAGACCGUGGCUGAGGAGGAGAGCUGCUCACCCAGCGCCGAGCUAGAAACACCACCACCGGCCAUUGCCGACACGGAAUUUCCAAGUAGUGGCAGUAAUUCAGUGCUAAAUACCCCUCCUACCACCCCCGAAUCGCCUUCCUCCGUCACUGUCACGGAAGCCGGUCGGCAGCAGUCUUCUGUAACCGUAUCAGAAGCGCUGGCCCCAAACCAAGAAGAGGUCCGAAGUAUCAAGAGUGAAACUGAUAGCACAAUCGAGGUGGAUAGUGUUGCAGGGGAGCUCCAAGACCUGCAGUCGGAGGGGAACAGCUCGCCAGCAGGCUUUGACGCGAGUGUGAGCUCCAGCAGUAGUAACCAGCCAGAGCCAGAGCACCCUGAAAAAGCCUGUACAGGUCAGAAAAGAGGGAAAGAAGCUCAGGGAGGAGGAAGUGCAUCCAAAAAGCAGAAACGAAGCCAUAAAGCAACAGUGGUAAACAACAAAAAGAAGGGAAAAGGCACGAAUAGUAGUGAUAGUGAAGAACUUUCUGCUGGUGAAAGUGUAACUAAGACUCAGCCAGUCAAAUCAGUUUCUACUGGGAUGAAGUCGCAUAGUACCAAGUCUCCUGCAAGGACGCAGUCUCCAGGAAAAUGUGGGAAGAAUGGUGAUAAGGAUCCUGAUCUCAAGGAACCCAGUAAUCGAUUACCCAAAGUUUACAAAUGGAGUUUUCAGAUGUCGGACCUAGAAAAUAUGACAAGUGCUGAACGCAUCACAAUUCUUCAAGAAAAACUGCAAGAAAUCAGAAAACAUUAUCUGUCAUUAAAAUCUGAAGUAGCUUCCAUUGAUCGGAGGAGAAAGCGUUUAAAGAAGAAAGAGAGAGAAAGUGCUGCUACAUCCUCCUCCUCUUCUUCACCUUCAUCCAGUUCCAUAACAGCUGCUGUUAUGUUAACUUUAGCUGAACCAUCAAUGUCCAGCUCAUCACAAAAUGGAAUGUCAGUUGAGUGCAGGUGACAGCAGGACUUGCUAAAGCACUUUGCACUUAAUGGCUGUUGAGGGCCACGUCUUUUUUAUACUGCACAGUGGCACAAAAAAAAAAAAUCAGACAAGCACUAUUUUAUAUUUAAAAAUUGUUUCUUGACAAGCUGACUUGGCACUUAAGUGCACUUUUUUUAUGAAGAAAAAGUACAAUGAACUGCUUUUCCUCAAGCAAUAAUUGUUUCCAACUUGUCUGGGAAUUGUGUGUCUGGUAACUUGAAGGCCUUCCACUGUGGCAAAUGGAGGCUUUUCACUGCCUGUAGAGACAAUACAGUAAGCAUAGUUAUUGGGUUGGCCAGAACAUGGUAAGAUAACUUACUGUAUAUGUAUUCCCUUGUAUUUUGUUAAAGCUGGAGCAUUUGAUAUUUUUCCAUUUAUUUAUGAAAAAAUAUGAACCUAUUUUCAUUUGUACAAGCUAAUUGUUUUUUAAAGCAAGUCACCUUUGGGUGGCUUUAAUUGUAUAAGUCAAGCACAUGUAAUAAAUUCAAAACCUGCAGUUAACA